UCCGGUUUGUCACCGGCAGUCAUCCUAGAGUGCCCACCCGAAGUGCUGGCAACUAAGAUCAAGGGUUGCGCUCGUUGCGGGACUUGACCCAACAUCUCACGACACGAGCUGACGACAACCAUGCACCACCUGUCUCCCCUGUCCCCGAAGGGCCGGCCCUAUCUCUAGGACUUUCAGGGGGAUGUCAAGACCUGGUAAGGUUCUUCGCGUUGCUUCGAAUUAAACCACAUACUCCACUGCUUGUGCGGGUCCCCGUCAAUUCCUUUGAGUUUCAGUCUUGCGACCGUACUCCCCAGGCGGAGUGCUUACUGUGUUAACUUCGGCACCAAGGGUAUCGAAACCCCUAACACCUAGCACUCAUCGUUUACGGCGUGGACUAC
rnacentral:misc_RNA from 1 species